GCUUGGCGAUCUCCCGCAGGCCAAAGUCACUGACAAAACGGCAGUCACUCACACUCAGCUCCUUGAUGGAACUGCAGUAGAUCAUGAGGAAGCGGAGGCCCUCGUCGGUGAUGCGAACGCAGCGGCGCAGGUACAGGGAAUUUUCAGAUUCCUCUAUAACUGACAAUAUAUGAGGUAGAGCCACCAGCAGCAUCCUUUGGAGGCCUUGAAGAUGUUUCCAGGCACAAGUCAAGACAUCACCCCCUGAUGCCACCGGUCCUCUUUGAAACGAAGAACCAACAACAAUUGCAAUGGACUUAAAAAUACAGUUGUGAUGUAGGAGACAGAUUUGAAGUCAGAAUCUCUGGAUCUGAAAAUCUGCUCUUUCACCUAAGGCUGCUGGGUAAGAUGCUGGCCUUCUCUGAGCUUGACUAUGAAAUAGAAAUUAAAGCAUCUGCCUUGCUUCUCUCCCAGAUUCUUGUGAAGAUUACAUGUACUAAUUUACCAAAACAGUUUGUAGUGUACAAAGUGCCAUGUAAGGAUCAGUUAUUCUUACUGUUUUUGUAAAAACAUCAUGCUUUUAUUCCCACAGUAGGUUUAUUUAUAUUUUAGGUAGACUGAUAUUAAAAUUUCAUGUACAAUGGAACAAGCACACAGAUCAAAAGUUACCUGCAACAAGGUGGAGUUGGGCUAAAAUUUCACCUUUGCCAUAACUUAUAUACAGAUUAGGUAGCUUUCAUGUUGAAAGAAAGGAAUUCGCUGUGUUGAAGACAGAUGUAUUCCUAGUAGAAUGAGUAUGUGUAAAACAGGAAAAUUAUUUGAUAUUUGCUAUAAAGUCAAGGUCUUGAGGGUAGCAGAGGAUAAAACUUUAAUCUAAAAUGAAUCAUUUCUAAUAAGGGAACUGGUGUGCAGGGAAGGUUUUUGUGACCUCAUACAAAUUUAAUCUUCCAUGGAGUUAGAAGGGAAGGACAUGACUGAGACACCGCCAUAAGGUGAAAUUUGCCUUUUUUCAGUAUGCAUUCAGAUUGGCUGAGGACUACACAGUUGCUAUGAAGUAUGGCUAUUCCUAAAAAAGUUAAUAUAAUUAGGGAAAAGUGCUAGUGGGUAAUGGAGAGUGAUAAUAGAUAAGGCUUUCAUUUAUUUGUCUGUAAAACAAUCUACUAUUUGAUCUUUAGGACUCCAUCUCCAACUUGAAUUUGUUAACUUUAAGGAUUACCAUCUAAUCAAAACAAAUAGACUUUGUUUUUAUAGCUAGAAAGGAAUGUAUUGAUAGUAGUCUACUCCAGUGAUAUCAAACUCAAAUAAAAACAGAUCCCUACAGUCUCAUAUUGACUUAGAAAACCACAGAUUAACAUUAUCUAUGUUGCAUUGUAUUUUUAUUUAUUUUGUUAAACAUUUCUCAAUUACAUUUUAAUCUGGUUUAGGUCUUACUUGCUCUUGUGGCCUGCUAGAGUUUGACAUCUGCAUCUUGUCCAACCUUCUCAUUUCAUAGACAAAGAAACUGAAACCCCAAAAGUUUAAGCAACUUAGUAAACACAUCACUAAGCAUUGUGCUUGGAACAUGGGUGCUUAAUACAUGUUGAUUGUUUGCUUGCCCAGGAUCACACAGGUAGUAAGAAAUAGAGCUGGUAUACAAACUCAAGGUGUGACUCCAGAUUCAGUACUUGGCAUGCUUUGAAGUGGCAAAGAGGCUAAAUACAGGGGGAAAAAAAAUCAAUGUUGAAAGCAUUGUUGGGGAAACUGGCACAUUAUUAACCUGUUGAGAUAGUUGUGAAUGGAUUCAAUAAUAUGGGAAGACAAUUUGGAAUUAUGUGAGAAAAAACACUAAACUGUUCAUUCCUUUUGACUUAACUACUUGACAUCUACUCAGAGGAAGGUAAAGACAUGGGGGGGGGGAGCCCCAUGUAUUCAUAAGUAUGCAUAAUUGCAGAAACUAGGGUAUCACCAAAAAUGGAAAGAGUGACUACAAAUGCACUGAGUAGUACAUUGGAAGUGUACAGGUUCACAGAUUCAGAUGACCUGUGUUCAAGUCCUGCCCUUUGCCACUUGCUAUCUGUGUAA